GGUAUGCGUUGAAGUAUCUAGCGUGAGCUGAUAUGGAGCUUCCAUAAGCAAAGAUCUUGGUGGUAGUAGCAAAUAUUCGAAUGAGAUCUUGGAUGGCUGAA
rnacentral:ncRNA from 1 species